rnacentral:lncRNA from 1 species
AUCAGCCGUGCUCACGGUUAAGAGCGGCCUGGACCCUCACAUGAUUAAUAUACUUGAAGAUGGAUUUAAAUUGUGGUUUAUGCUAUGGUUAUGGUUGUGCCAUAUGCUUAUGGCUUAUGUUUAUGUUUCUAUUAAUUGUGGGUUGGUAUAUACUUAUACCUUAGUAAUCAGGUGCUAAUAAAAUUUGACCAACUAAAAAUGCUUAAUGCAGUCAACCAGUCAGCCUUUCCUUGUUUAACCCUUGCAUUCAUAUUCUCCUCACACUUGCUGAGUACGACAAGUGCUCACCCUUGCUAUAAACAACAUUGCUCAGAAGA